rnacentral:rRNA from 1 species
AGAGUUUGAUCCUGGCUCAGAUUGAACGCUGGCGGUAUGCUUAACACAUGCAAGUCGAACGGUAACAGGCAAAAGCUUGCUUUUGCGCUGACGAGUGGCGGACGGGUGAGUAACGCGUAGGAAUCUGCCUAGUAGUGGGGGACAACCUGGUGAAAACCAGGCUAAUACCGCAUACGCCCUACGGGGGAAAGCGGGGGAUCUUCGGACCUCGCGCUAUUAGAUGAGCCUGCGUUAGAUUAGCUAGUUGGUGGGGUAAAGGCCUACCAAGGCGACGAUCUAUAGCUGGUCUGAGAGGACGAUCAGCCACACUGGGACUGANACACGGCCCAGACUCCUACGGGAGGCAGCAGUGGGGAAUAUUGGACAAUGGGCGAAAGCCUGAUCCAGCAAUACCGCGUGUGUGAAGAAGGCCUGAGGGUUGUAAAGCACUUUCANUUGGGAGGAAAAGCUAAUUAUUAAUAGUAAUUAGCCUUGACGUUACCUUUAGAAGAAGCACCGGNUAACUCCGUGCC